UACGAAGGGGGGCUAGCGUUGCUCGGAAUUACUGGGCGUAAAGGGCGCGUAGGCGGAUAUUUAAGGUUAGAGGUGAAAGCCCAGGCUCAACCCUGGAAUAGCCUUUAAUACUGGAUAUCUUGAGUUCGGGAGAGGUGAGUGGAACUCCGAGUGUAAGAGGUGAAAUUCGUAGAUAAUUCGGAAGAACACCAGUGGCGAAGGCGACUCACUGGCCCGAUACUGACGCUGAGGCGCGGAAAGCGUGGGGGAGCAAACAGG
rnacentral:rRNA from 1 species